rnacentral:tRNA from 1 species
CGUGGCCUGCUGCAGGGUCCGACGGCGCCUUGUCCGGAAAGGUGGGGCCCCGGCCCGGCCCCGGGGUCGCGUUCCGGGGCCGGGCC